UGGGGAAUAUUGCACAAUGGGCGAAAGCCUGAUGCAGCGACGCCGCGUGAGGGAUGACGGCCUUCGGGGUGUAAACCUCUUUCAGCAGGGACGAAGCGCAAGUGACGGUACCUGCAGAAGAAGCACCGGCUAACUACGUGCCAGCAGCCGCGGUAAUACGUAGGGUGCACGCGUAGUACGGAAUUACUGGGCGUAAAGAGUUCGUAGUCGGUUUGUCGCGUAGGUGGUGUAUACCCGCAGCUAACAGGA
rnacentral:rRNA from 1 species